UACGGAGGGUGCAAGCGUUAAUCGGAAUUACUGGGCGUAAAGCGCACGCAGGUGGCUGAGUCAGUCGAUUGUGAAAGCCCUGGGCUUAACCUGGGAAUUGCAGUCGAUACUACUCAGCUAGAGUAUGGGAGAGGGCAGUGGAAUUCCCGGUGUAGCGGUGAAAUGCGUAGAGAUCCGGAGGAACACCAGUGGCGAAGGCGACACGCUGGGCCGUACCUGACACUGAUGCGCGACAGCAUGGGGAGCAAACAGG
rnacentral:rRNA from 1 species